rnacentral:rRNA from 1 species
UCUAGUAGCUGGUUCCCUCCGAAGUUUCCCUCAGGAUAGCUGGUGCAUUAUAAUAUUAUGUUAAAUAAUCUUAUCUGGUAAAGCGAAUGAUUAGAGGCCUUAGGGUCGAAACGACCUUAACCUAUUCUCAAACUUUAAAUGGGUAAGAACCUCACCUUUCUUGAUAUGAAGGUUGAGGUUAUGAUAUAAUGUGCCCAGUGGGCCAAUUUUGGUAAGCAGAACUGGCGCUGUGGGAUGAACCAAACGUAAUGUUACGGUGCCUAAAUUAACAACUCAUGCAGAUACCAUGAAAGGCGUUGGUUGCUUAAAACAGCAGGACGGUGGACAUGGAAGUCGUAAUCCGCUAAGGAGUGUGUAACAACUCACCUGCCGAAGCAACUAGCCCUUAAAAUGGAUGGCGCUUAAGUUGUAUACCUAUACAUUACCGCUAAAGUAGAUGAUUUAUAAUACAAUUUCGAUUGAAUUAUAAAUUUUGAAACUUUAGUGAGUAGGAGGGUACAAUGGUGUGCUUAGAAGUGUUUGGCGUAAGCCUGCAUGGAGCCGCUAUUGGUACAGAUCUUGGUGGUAGUAGCAAAUAAUCGAAUGAGACCUUGGAGGACUGAAGUGGAGAAGGGUUUCGUGUGAACAGUGGUUGAUCACGAGUUAGUCGGUCCUAAGUUCAAGGCGAAAGCCGAAAAUUUUCAAGUUUUAAUGC